rnacentral:rRNA from 1 species
GAUGAACGCUGGCGGCGUGCCUAAUACAUGCAAGUCGAGCGAACAGAUGAGGAGCUUGCUCCUCUGACGUUAGCGGCGGACGGGUGAGUAACACGUGGAUAACCUACCUAUAAGACUGGGAUAACUUCGGGAAACCGGAGCUAAUACCGGAUAAUAUAUUGAACCGCAUGGUUCAAUAGUGAAAGACGGUUUUGCUGUCACUUAUAGAUGGAUCCGCGCCGCAUUAGCUAGUUGGUAAGGUAACGGCUUACCAAGGCAACGAUGCGUAGCCGACCUGAGAGGGUGAUCGGCCCCACUGGAAAUGAGCCACGGUCCAGACCCCUACGGGGGGCACAAGUAGGGAUUCUUCCGCAAGGGGCGAAAGCCUGACGGAGCAACGCCGCGGGAGUGAUGAAGGUUUUCGGAUCGAAAAACUCUUUUAUUAGGGAAAAACAAAUGGGUAAGUAACUAUGCCCGUCUUGACGGUACCUAAACAGAAAGCCCCGGCUAACUACGU